UUCAAUCCUCUGCCCAAAACCCUCACCUCUCCUUCUCCAUUUGCAAUUUCAAUCCAUAAAUCAUCAUAUCUAGGCUUCAACAAAUUCAUCUUAUAUCUUGACUUUAGCCACGCUCAAUCACAUUGUUCAACCCAUCGCCAAAUCUAGAGCCAAGUGAUAUUACAAUUUUAGGAUAAUGAGUUAAAUCACAGCAAACCACAAGUCCUUUCUUGUAUUCCGAUCCAUUCCGGCGACCACCUACUAACACCUGCUCACAAUUGUUCUAUGAUGUGAAUCUAAUCAGUAUAUACCUCGCAUCCAGUGCUCCGAUGUGCGCUGAACCAAAGAGAGGGAAGAAUGCCUGGAAUUUUGCCCUACCCGUAUCCACUGUUGGUCUCCCCUUCGAGGAAUUGCCAUCAAGAUUGAUCAUCUAAGACGACCGUCGCAGGCAGAGAUGACUCUGGAACAAUUUCUAGAAAGAACAAAAAUUCCAGUGAUAGUUCUUGCCGCCGGUCGAGCUUCCUCAGACACUGGGUCAACUACCAUCAACUUCAAUAAGAAAAUGCGUAAAUGAAUUUAUGAAUGUAUAUGAAAAAUUGUUUUUUAGUUUUUAGGUAGGAAUUAGAGCUUUUUUCUUUAGAUUGUUGCGGGAAAAGCAUAAAAAUGAAGGCUGAGAAGAACAUGUGAAA